GGACGGGAGCCGCUCCCGGGCGGCACACAGCCGAGUCCCUCCUCCCCUCCCCGCAGGCAGCCUGUGCCUUUUCUCCAAACGAAGACAGCACUUUGAAAAUUCUUUCAAUGGAUUUUUUUUUCCUUGAAAGAUCGUACUGGGGGAAAAUGAUACUUCUAUUAGUUACAUAUUCUCCAAUCGCAUACUCGCACCCCCCUCGUUUUGAGAUCGCUCCCCUAGGCAGGCUCAGGCGGGCGCGGAGCCGCGCGGAGUGACAAAGCCGCCGCUGCCGCCGCCGGGGGUGGGAGCCGCGCUCGCCCGCCCGCCCCUCGACUCGCGAGGGCGUAAAAGUUUGUCUCAGCUCGAGCAUUCCUAGCGCCAACACGCCCUCAGGUAAAGGUGGAAGUAAAUGGCCACGCUGUAUUGACAGAGCAGGUAGAUGAAACUCAAGAGAAAAGGUGUGGAUAAAUGAAACUAGCCCAUGAUGAACCUGUUUUCUCCGUGACCACAAUAUUAACCAGGAUGAAUGGCGGUGGCAGUGGGCCUGCAUCACAGGUUGCAGCAGAUGUUCUCAAUAUUUCUAUUAAAAUUUCCUUAUUUCCAUAUGCAAGAGGAGCCCCAGAGCUGCAUCCUUAUGGUAGCUACCAUGCCGUGAUGUAAGCUGCCAUUCACUGGGGAGCUUUGGCAAUAGAAUUGGCUAGAUCAGGAAGCCUAUGUCAACUAUGGAACAACAACUUGCAGCUCAUCUCUAUUGAUGGACCUCUAACAAUGAUAUUGGAAGAAUAGAUACUAAGUCUUGGAGAGAUACACUGCCUCUAGGACUGGGACAGAUAGCCACUGAGUACCUGCUUCAAAUCACCCUGCACGUUUUCUCUUUGGAAAGAUAAGCACUGGAGAACCAUCUCGUUACCUUCAGCAGAAAUGGAAACAAAUCAAGACAUUAAGAAUGCCGCAGUGGACAGCAGUUAUGCAAGGUUCAGCAGAGGAAGUUUUCAAGAUGGUGUGCCUCACUAGCCAGAAAUCAGAAAAGAUCGAAGCUAGCCUUUUCAUCUCAGCUGCUCCUUAAAUCAGUGCAACCCCUCCAAAUUAAUGUGAAUUGAAACUUGCAUUGCUUUUCAACUUAAUUGAAUACUUACUAUAUGUGAACCACUGCACAAAAUAGGGGAAGAAGAUGUGGGAGACAAAGAUGUGGAGCCUGUCUUCAAUAAAUUUACAGUUAGUUUCAGGGUACAUUGUUUUUCUUCUGCUGUUAAUUAGGUGUAUCCCCAAGACAAUAAAUACAUGAAUGGAAAAGUAUAUUCUGUGUUUUAAGUCUCUUUAAUAAAAAACAAAACAAAAUCCAAAAAAACUCCUAACAUGGCAACUCAGGACAUUUUAAUCCUUUUUUUUGUUGUUGGGCUUCUGAUAGGAUCCAUUUUAUUGAUUCCAUAAAUAUUUAGUAGACUUUAGACAUAUUAAUACAUUGUAGUUUGAGUUAAUUUGCAUUAAAUUCUGUUUUUUUCCCCUUAGGUAUAGAUUGUCUGUUGGAAAAAUAUAUUGCUUGUGGAUUUCUUGGGGAGUGGGAAGGUGAAUUAUACCUGUUGUCUCUACAGUCCACUACCUUCCACACCCUAGGGCAGUGGUCCCCAACCUUCUUGGCACCAGGGAUCAGUUUCCUGGAAGACAAUUUUUCUGUGGAUGGUGUGGGGAUGGUUUUGGGAUGGAACUGUUCCACCUCAGAUCAUCAGGCAUUAGUUAGGCUCUCAUAACGAGUGCGCAGCCUAGAUCCCUCACAUGCACAGUUCACAGUAGGGUUUGCGCUGCUAUGAGAAUCUAAGGCUGCCACUGAUCUGACAGGAGGCAGAACUCAGGUGGCAAUGCUUACUGGCCCACUGCUCACCUCUUGCUGUGCGGCCUGGUUCCUAAUAGGCCAUGGACCCCCACAGACGGGUACUAGUCUGCAGCCUGUGGACCCCAGCCCUAGGGGCCUGCCAUUCUGAGUGAGUUAUUAGCAUGAAGAAGAGGAAGAUCUGGAUCAAACGUGGGUGAUGGUACUCAGAGACCCAAGAUAGGAUAGGGAUGGAACAAAAUCCAUCUGGGCAACGGCUCUAUGAAAAUUUGGCUAAGUAAUUAUUUCAGUAUUCAUUGUAUUCAUUGUCCUUCGUGUUCCAUAAGUUAAAUGACUGUCUAAUUUUUCCAAAAAUUUAUUUCUGACUUGAGAAUAAGUGUGUCAUGAUUUUCCCAGUGUAAAGACACUGAUAUAACUGUAGAUACCAGACAUUUUAUGUAGUGUCUAUGACACAUUUUAGUAUGUAUGAGCCAACAAUAGACAUGUCUUUGUCUUGAGGAGUGUCCAUCUGAAUUGAAAAUGUGUCAGCUUUUUUUUAACAUCAUCAACAGACUUCUUAAUUAAGCUGCCAAUACAUACUGCCAAUAGCACUGUGUGCUGUCUGAGAAAUGCAUUGUGUAAGUGCUAUUUCCAUCUUAUUAAAUA
rnacentral:lncRNA from 1 species